rnacentral:rRNA from 1 species
GAUGAACGCUGGCGGCGUGCCUAAUACAUGCAAGUCGAACGCGCAGCGAAAGGUGCUUGCACCUUUCAAGCGAGUGGCGAACGGGUGAGUAACACGUGGAUAACCUGCCUCAAGGCUGGGGAUAACAUUUGGAAACAGAUGCUAAUACCGAAUAAAACUUAGUAUCGCAUGAUACAAAGUUAAAAGGCGCUACGGCGUCACCUAGAGAUGGAUCCGCGGUGCAUUAGUUAGUUGGUGGGGUAAAGGCUUACCAAGACGAUGAUGCAUAGCCGAGUUGAGCGCCUGAUCGGCCACAUUGGGACUGAGACACGGCCCAAACUCCUACGGGAGGCUGCAGUAGGGAAUCUUCCACAAUGGGCGCAAGCCUGAUGGAGCAACGCCGCGUGUGUGAUGAAGGCUUUCGGGUCGUAAAGCACUGUUGUAUGGGAAGAAAUGCUAAAAUAGGGAAUGAUUUUAGUUUGACGGUACCAUACCAGAAAGGGACGGCUAAAUACGUGCCAGCAGCCGCGGUAA